GAGAAACCUUUUAAAUUAAAUAACGACAAGGAAAUAUAUCUCAGGCAGUGAGGCGUUGUACAGUGAUACCCUUGCAAUACACCCUUUCGACGGGGCACCCGUUUGGGUUGGAAAUUGGAGGAGGCUCAUCUUCCACGACAACCAGCUGCAGGUCAUAGAAAUUCGCCGGAGCUUUGGGACGUCGCCUUGGAGCAAUUCGGCGAGCCAGAGAGGAGAGGCCAGCUAGUGCCCGGCAGACGGCAGCCGCGUCGGUUUGUUUCAUCGCUCCGCGUAUGCGUCCAUACCCCGCGCGUAGGGGGGAGGCAGAGAGGAAAAAGUGUUCGGCAGUUAGUGGCUGAUCGAAGUUGAAAUUGUCACAGAGAUCUAGCCUGGUCCAAAAGAAACAAAAAAAAAAUAGCAAGAAUAA